rnacentral:rRNA from 1 species
GACGAACGCUGGCGGCGUGCCUAAUACAUGCAAGUAGAACGCUGAAGGAGGAGCUUGCUUCUCUGGAUGAGUUGCGAACGGGUGAGUAACGCGUAGGUAACCUGCCUGGUAGCGGGGGAUAACUAUUGGAAACGAUAGCUAAUACCGCAUAAUAGCAGUUAUUGCAUGAUAACUGUUUGAAAGGUGCAAUUGCACCACUACCAGAUGGACCUGCGUUGUAUUAGCUAGUUGGUGGGGUAACGGCUCACCAAGGCGACGAUACAUAGCCGACCUGAGAGGGGGAUCGGCCACACUGGGACUGAGACACGGCCCAGACUCCUACGGGGGGGCGCGGUGGGGAAUCUUCGGCAAAGGACGGAAGUCUGACCGAACAACGCCGCGUGAGUGAAGAAGGUUUUCGGAUCGUAAAGCUCUGUUUGAAGGGAAAAACGGGUGUGAGAGGGGAAAGUUCACCCUGUGACGGUAUUUUACCAGAAAGGGACGGCAAACUACGU